GCUUGUCUCAAAGAUUAAGCCAUGCAUGUCUAAGUAUAAACUAUUUUAUACUGUGAAACUGCGAAUGGCUCAUUAAAUCAGUUAUAGUUUAUUUGAUGGUACCUUACUACUCGGAUAACCGUAGUAAUUCUAGAGCUAAUACAUGCACAAAAUCCCGACUUACGAAGGGAUGUAUUUAUUAGAUACAAACCAACAUCGUGGUGAUUCAUAAUAACUUUCGGAUCGAUUUAUCGAUGCAUCAUUCAAGUUUCUGCCCUAUCAGCUUUGGAUGGUAGGGUAUUGGCCUACCAUGGCUUUAACGGGUAACGGAGAAUUAGGGUUCGAUUCCGGAGAGGGAGCCUGAGAAAUGGCUACCACAUCCAAGGAAGGCAGCAGG
rnacentral:rRNA from 1 species